rnacentral:rRNA from 1 species
CUACGAUCAUACCACGUUGAAAGCACGACAUC